rnacentral:rRNA from 1 species
GAAUUUUCCGCAAUGGGCGAAAGCCUGACGGAGCAACGCCGCGUGAGGGAUGAAGGCCUCUGGGCUGUAAACCUCUUUUCUCAAGGAAGAAGACCUGACGGUACUUGAGGAAUAAGCCACGGCUAAUUCCGUGCCAGCAGCCGCGGUAAUACGGGAGUGGCAAGCGUUAUCCGGAAUUAUUGGGCGUAAAGCGUCCGCAGGCGGCCUUGUAAGUCUGUUGUUAAAGCGUGGAGCUUAACUCCAUUUCAGCAAUGGAAACUUCAAGACUAGAGUGUGGUAGGGGCAGAGGGAAUUCCCGGUGUAGCGGUGAAAUGCGUAGAUAUCGGGAAGAACACCAGUGGCGAAGGCGCUCUGCUGGGCCAUAACUGACGCUCAUGGACGAAAGCCAGGGGAGCGAAAGGGAUUANAUACCCCUGUAGUC